GUAUACAGUCAUACUACCCUGAAUGUGCCCUUUCUCAUCUGAUCUCAGAAGCUAAGCAGAGUUGGUACUUGGAUGAGACACAUCAUAAACU
rnacentral:rRNA from 1 species